rnacentral:lncRNA from 1 species
AGUGCAAGCGGCCAAGAGGGCGAGCAUUCGACUUCCACCUGAAGUAAAUCAGAUAUUGUAUAUAAGAAAUUUGCCAUACACAAUCACAGCUCAAUCAAUGUAUAUUUGGGAAAUAUGGACCUAUUCAUCAAAUCAGAGUGGAAAACACACCUGAAACUAGAGGAACAGCUUAUGUGGUCUAUGAAGACAUCUUUGUUGCCAAGAAUGCUUGUGAUCACCUAUCGGGAUUCAAUUUUUGUGACAGAUAACUUGUGGUUUUGUACUAUAAUGCCAACAGGGCAUUUCAGAAGAUGGACACGAAGAAGGAGGAACAGCUGAAGCUUCUCACGGAGAAAUAUGGUUGUCAAGAUAGAUCCACCAA